rnacentral:rRNA from 1 species
UACAGAGGGUGCGAGCGUUAAUCGGAAUUACUGGGCGUAAAGCGCGCGUAGGCGGCUUUUCAAGUCGAUUGUGAAAUCCCCGGGCUUAACCUGGGAACUGCAGUCGAGACUGUCUAGCUAGAGUAUGGGAGAGGGAAGUGGAAUUUCAGGUGUAGCGGUGAAAUGCGUAGAUAUCUGAAGGAACAUCAGUGGCGAAAGCGGCUUCCUGGACCAGUACCGACGUUCAGGCACGAAAGCGUGGGGAGCAAACAGG